GGGUGGGGGAGGGGUGGGGAUUCUGGUGUAAGCUUUUGGCUUGCAUUCGCUUUCUCCCUCCGAAAGUGGGCGACAUCAAGCAAGUCCCAGUUACAGAAAGAACCCACUGCAGGGCGUCCAGUCACUUGCCCAGUGAAAAGACUGUAAUCAGACAACUUUAAUAAAGGGAGAGCAGGAGAGUGGUGACGAAUUUCCACAUUCCGAACAAGCUUGUCGAAAGAGGAGUGCAGGGAAGGAGCAAGAAUGAGGCACUGGAAGACGGUGAGCGGGGCCUUGCCACAGAAUCCCGGGCCCACCUGCUUUCUCACAGUCGCGACAGCCGGCCCGGAGAAGGGCAGCCCAGCGAAGGGCACGCCCCGCGCGGGUGCCAGGGAGGCCGGCAGGGGCGUCCGCGGUCGCUGCUCACCUGCGCUCCCCGCUGCCCGGCCCAGCCCGCCUCGCCACCGAGUCUGGAAGCCCACACUCACCCCUUUACCCGGGAAACGCGGCCGGAGCCGGCGGCGGGUCGGGAGUCCGAGAUGGUAGAUCCCCCUCCAGGCGCCUCGCUGACAUUUUGUCCCGGACGGAAAACCUCCGCGCGUGCCCCUUAAAGACACAGCGCUGCAUUCACACGUCUGCGGGGAAAGGGGGGCCGUCACGUGUGGCCUUCGCCCGAAAGCGGUAGGGGAGUCGCUCUGAAACCGCCAAGGAUCGCGAGCGACAGAUUUGUGUUGGCCAGGGUUUUAAGAUGACGCAAUAGCUGAGUGUGGUUGAAAUGUAACUAUUGUUUUACAACUUUGCAUUAACCUUCCAAGACCUGAAUUCCCGGGCCUGAGUCUCAGAGCGCGGUUUGCAUCUUUGCAGGCUGUAGGCGCAUGAUGUCACAAGUUAUUGGAAGAAAUCCCUCCAACCUAGGUUGGGACAGAUGAAGGCGGCGCUUAUUGGUGUUCACCAAAACACCAGCAUGGUGUACCAGCUUUGGCUAGAUGAUGCUCAGAACACCAGAGACUGGGUAAUUAAUAAAAAGAAGAAAUUGAUCUGGCCUACAGUUCUGGAGCCUUGGAAGUCCGAGAUCAAGGAGCUGCAUCUGGAAAACACAGAUCCUGGUGCCGAACAUGAGGACAGGGCAGGCCGAAGGAGAAAGUGGAAGGAGGGGAGCUUCUCUCUCAGCCUCAUCCUUCUGGGCCUGGAUGCUGGAGAGUCAUGAGGUGCUUCAGAGUACUCUGGGUGAGGAGGGAAAGAUGGUGCCCACCACAUGGAGGCCAGCCUAGGUCUUGUAUGAAACCUGUGAGCUAGCUGAAAGCAGAGAACCCAGCAGAGGAUUCUGGGAAGGUCCUGGGGGAUGGCAGAGCCAGCAGAGAGAGGGUAUGGAUCCACCAGGCAUAGGAUGGAACAGAGCACUAUUGACCACAGUGAACUGGGGCAUGGGCAAUCAAUAAACACAUAUUAGAUUAAGCUAUUGAGACUCAGGGAUUUUUAUACAACUGACAUUCCCUAAGAAGCCAUGAUCUUCCUGUCUCAGGAGGUGCAUAAGCAGUGGUUGAAUGUUCAACAGUCAAGAAUGUUAUAAAAAGAGGUUCUUGGGAGAGUGGACCUGAUGGCCAGCAAAAAUCAUAGCUCACAUUUAUUGAGUUAUUAUGGCUCAGGCAUGUGCACAUAUUCUUUUAUUUAAAUCUACAAUAUGCUUUAUCAUGCUCAUUUUAUACAUGAGGAACACAAGGCAUGGAGAGGUUAGAUAACAUGCCUAAGAUCAUGAAGCAAGCAAGGGGGAGAAAAGAUACCCUUCUCACUCCUUCCAGACAGCUCACUUCACCACCACUCCCCACUGUCUCUAAAGCAAAAGUUAUUUGAAGGCUUAGGGACUGGUUUGGUAUUAUCCAUGCAGGGCGGUUUGUUUUGUUUUUCUUUUAAAAUUUCAGCCUAUGCUUAAAAGAUUUCAUGUAAAAAUUCUGUUUUCUAGUUUCUCUUGAAAAUUAAGAAGAUCUGGUAAAACUGGGCUUGAAGACCAUUAUGGUAACAGGCUGCUGAAGCUGAGGAGAGGGCCCCUUCAGAUGGGCAUAAGCACUGCUCCCCCUCCCCAACCCCCCUUUUAGGUUACUAUCAGACUCUGGAAGCUUCUGAAUGUGUGAACCCUGAAAGAGUCCAUCUAAAGCUAAGUUCUCCCCAGGGGUAGAGCCCAAUGCUGGGCAUACAGUAGGG
rnacentral:lncRNA from 10 species